CCUACGGGAGGCAGCAGUGAGGAAUAUUGGUCAAUGGACGAGAGUCUGAACCAGCCAAGUAGCGUGAAGGAUGACUGCCCUAUGGGUUGUAAACUUCUUUUAUAUGGGAAUAAAAUGUUCCACGUGUGGGAUUUUGUAUGUACCAUAUGAAUAAGGAUCGGCUAACUCCGUGCCAGCAGCCGCGGUAAUACGGAGGAUCCGAGCGUUAUCCGGAUUUAUUGGGUUUAAAGGGAGCGUAGGUGGAUUGUUAAGUCAGUUGUGAAAGUUUGCGGCUCAACCGUAAAAUUGCAGUUGAAACUGGCAGUCUUGAGUACAGUAGAGGUGGGCGGAAUUCGUGGUGUAGCGGUGAAAUGCUUAGAUAUCACGAAGAACUCCGAUUGCGAAGGCAGUUCACUGGACUGCAACUGACACUGAGGCUCGAAAGUGUGGGUAUCAAACAGGAUUAGAUAUCCCAGUAGUC
rnacentral:rRNA from 1 species